CCCUAAAAAAAAACGAAAUAAAAUUCAAAUACAAAAACAAAAAUUGUAUAGUUUUUAUUUCUUCAUUAUGGUAUUGUUUGUUGUUUGUAACUAGCCGCUUGCAAUUGCUUGGUUUAUCAAAAAACAAAAAAAAAAUAAAGUACACUUCAAUAGACCCAAUCAUUAUUUUUAUUUUAUUUUAUUUUUUUUUUCUUGUCUUUGUUAAACAAACCCAAGUUUCUUCUUUACUCUUCCUAAGUCAAUUACAUAUGAAUUUUUCCCCUUUCCUAUCUUUCCUAUCCGUAAUCAAAAAGAGUUCAAAAAGAGUUAGUGAUACUUCUUUUCUUUGUCUUUGGGAUACCUGCCGAAAACUAAUGAAUUUUUGGAGUCAAAAUCAUGACACGAACUCAUUUA